UCCCUGCUAGCUCAUAUGAUAGAGAAUCUGCCUGCAACGCAGGAGACCUGGGUUUAAUCCCUGGGUUGGGAA
rnacentral:tRNA from 1 species